GAGCGAGCAGAACCAGCAGAUUUACUUCGGUAAUGACGCUGGGGACGCGAGCGGCGGAUGGGUGAGUAACACGUGGGGAACCUGCCCCAUAGUCUAGGAUACCACUUGGAAACAGGUGCUAAUACCGGAUAAUAAAGCAGAUCGCAUGAUCAGCUUAUAAAAGGCGGCGUAAGCUGUCGCUAUGGGAUGGCCCCGCGGUGCAUUAGCUAGUUGGUAAGGUAACGGCUUACCAAGGCAAUGAUGCAUAGCCGAGUUGAGAGACUGAACGGCCACAUUGGGACUGAGACACGGCCCAAACUCCUACGGGAGGCAGCAGUAGGGAAUCUUCCACAAUGGACGCAAGUCUGAUGGAGCAACGCCGCGUGAGUGAAGAAGGUUUUCGGAUCGUAAAGCUCUGUUGUUGGUGAAGAAGGAUAGAGGUAGUAACUGGCCUUUAUUUGACGGUAAUCAACCAGAAAGUCACGGCUAACUACGUGCCAGCAGCCGCGGUAAUACGUAGGUGGCAAGCGUUGUCCGGAUUUAUUGGGCGUAAAGCGAGCGCAGGCGGAAGAAUAAGUCUGAUGUGAAAGCCCUCGGCUUAACCGAGGAAUUGCAUCGGAAACUGUUUUUCUUGAGUGCAGAAGAGGAGAGUGGAACUCCAUGUGUAGCGGUGGAAUGCGUAGAUAUAUGGAAGAACACCAGUGGCGAAGGCGGCUCUCUGGUCUGCAACUGACGCUGAGGCUCGAAAGCAUGGGUAGCGAACAGGAUUAGAUACCCUGGUAGUCCAUGCCGUAAACGAUGAGUGCUAAGUGUUGGGAGGUUUCC
rnacentral:rRNA from 1 species